AAUUCGAUGCAACGCGAAGAACCUUACCUGGUCUUGACAUCCCGGAGACCCUUAGGAAACUAGGGGGUGCUUCCAUCUGGAAGAAUCUGGAGACAGGUGCUGCAUGGCUGUCGUCAGCUCGUGUCGUGAGAUGUUGGGUUAAGUCCCGCAACGAGCGCAACCCUUGCCUUUUAGUUGCCAGCAGUUCGGCUGGGCACUCUAAAGGGACUGCCGGUGUUAAACCGGAGGAAGGUGGGGAUGACGUCAGGUCCUCAUGGCCUUUAUGACCAGGGCUACACACGUACUACAAUGGCCGAUACAAAGGGCAGCGACACUGCGAGGUGAAGCCAAUCCCGUAAAAUCGGUCUCAGUCCGGAUUGGAGUCUGCAACUCGACUCCAUGAAGUUGGAAUCGCUAGUAAUCGUGGAUCAGCAUGCCACGGUGAAUACGUUCCCGGGCCUU
rnacentral:rRNA from 1 species